rnacentral:lncRNA from 1 species
UGGAGAUGCAGGGGGCAGGCUGCCGACAGUCUGUGGGAGGGUCUACUCGGUCUCUCUGACAGAAGCUACCCACAUCAAAGCUCUCUGUGGAGCUCUGUGCUGGCUCGAGUCUCCGCUCCACAUUCUGCAGAGACUUGCUCAAACAGCGCCUGUCCAGCACAGGCACCAUUAAAAGCCUACGUGCAGAAGACACGCAGGGAGCCUGUCCGAAUUGGCUCUGGGAAACAGCCAGGUGUGUUUCAUUCCAAAGAAAUAUCGGGAGUGGGAAGGACGUCAUCUAGAAGAAAGCCACUGGACCGCCUGUCAGUGUUGGCUAGCAACACUGCUCUGUUUGUUCUGGGAGUUGCUUCAGAGAAACGCGGAGGAUGAGACAAGAUGACACAGUAUCUCCCGAAGCAGCACCUCGCAUGCAGCUCCAAACCCAGGAGGGUAACCUUGACUAUAAGAAGCCCCUGUUGAGAUCGCUCGCUGUGAUUCUGCCCAUCAGAGACAAGUCCUUCACAAUGAAACCACAUCUGUCUCUUGAUGAAGCGUGGCAGCUAGCAGUUCCUCAGCCUUCCUGUGUCCCAGGAAUGGGCUAAGGUACUCUGCAGGCCAUGCAGGCCUGCUUAGAACAAGGUGACAAUAAGGUCAGAGUGGAAGCAGCUCACAACGCCUCCCUCUUCCAGGCAGCUGCCCUUGGGCCGUCAUCCAAGUUGGCAGCAAGAAACUUAACCCGGCCAAGUAAGAAAGUCAGGUGUGUGAGCACGCUCGACAAAGCCCGGCCGUCAUGGCCCAGUCUUCAGCAAAUGUUCCGAAGACUCAUGGCCUCCUGACCCAAUCUAUGUGGUGAACUCGGCAGAGCCGAGCCCAGAGGCAAGGCCACCACCCUCUCCUGCCUCCAGCCAAAUUCAGAGGUAGCUGCCAUCCUUGAGUUAUUUUGUCUAAUUUCAUUUUGAGCGUGCCUGCGGGAGGGUGUGUGGCAUGUGGAUGGCCUGCGUAUGUGAGUUCAAGAGCACACAUAUCUCAGCACGUAUAUGGGACUCAAGAGGGCCAUUUUUAGGAGGUUUUGAGGUGGGAUCUCUCUUGUUUCUUUGUUGCUCUCUACACUGAGCUAGCUGGCCCACAAGCUUCUAGAUAACAUUCCUUUCUCUACCUUCUUCAACCUUUGUCACGGGAAUGGUGGAAUUACAGAUGUGGUCUGCUGCAUCUGCCUUUUUUUCUUUUUUUAAUAUGGGUUCAGGAGAUCAAACUCAGGCCAUAAGACUUCCAUAGUAAGCACUUUUACCCAGUGAGCUAUCUUCCUGGCUCCCUCAUCUUUCUUGAGGAUGCUCGCUCAAGCAGUAACCAUGUGGCAUUUGACAAUGCCCCAGAUGGUGUGGUCCUUUUUUGCUGAGACAGGUUUUGUAGAAUCUGUAAGGGAAAGGUAUGGAUAGGCAAGAGUCAGAACACCAGAUCAGCAAGAGAGAGCUCUGAAGACUGGGAAAUCAUGAGCAAGGGGUGGGAACAGAUGCUGGGGUCUGAGCCCAAGGUCAUCAUUUAGAGAUGACAGUUGGAAGCAGCCGGAGCUGAGAAAUGGGAAAGAGGUAGUGAGCCUGGCAGUCUGGCUGGAAGCUUGAGAUCUUAGAGUGACGUAGAGGGAGUUGGCAAGGGUUAAGAUGGGGAUCCUACACCAGUAGACAUGAUAAAAUGGUGACUGUUUCAUUAUAGAAACAAGGUUAGCAGGGAUGUCAGCUAAAGAUUACAUGGAGAGCAGAAUGAGGCUCACAAGGACCCAAGAGCUGAUGGUGGGACCCAGUAGGACCUAUGUGCAGUCCUCUGGGAUUUGUGCUCUGUAGGACCAAGUCCAGAACUUCCUAGAAGGUACGCUUGCACCUAAUUUGUGUAGCAUUGGCAAUAAGAGAAGCCAGUGUUUGGAGUCGGAGAGCCUCCUCCACUGUCAGGAGACCCAGGAGACCCAGGAGAGAAACCCAGAUUUCCCCUGCACCUGAUGCUCCUUGGGGUCAGGCAUAUGAGGCAGCUGCUGAAAAAGCACCCCAACAGUGGGGUGCUUACUGUCUGGCAUGGAACUACCCAGAGGAGUACCAUGGAACCCAAGAGAGUAGAGGCAAGCGACACACAGAAUAAUUAAGAGCUUAAGUGAUGACUUCAAUUUCUUAUUAAGAUGAGAUCAUUCCCCAAAUAAAGUUACAUCUCUUUGGCACCUGUCAAUCAUAACACAUGCUGAGGUUGGUAUGUUUUUGCCUCUCCCACCAAUGCUCAUGUGGAAAUCUGUCAUGGCAGGACUAAGAGGUGGGGCAGGUUCAGAGAAAUGAAUGCCUGUCCCUUGGAAUUAGAUCAGUUGUUUUGGUUGUGAGUAGUUGGCCUCGCAGUACUCAUUACUGAUUGUGUACACAAACGCACACACAUGCAUGCACACAUGUGCACACACAUGCAUGCACACAUGGGCACACAAAUGUCCACACACGCACACAUGUGCUCACACACACACACACACACACACACACUUUUCACAUUUGUUCUUUGCCUUUCUGAUUUGAUUUGUCACUUGUCACCCUCAUUACAUACAAGAACUAUGAGCCAAAUAAAGUUUUCUUCUUUGUCAGUUUCCUGUCUGUGCUCAAGGACACAGUCUUUAACCUGUGUGCUGGCUCGAUUGGGGGGUAUAAAUGUUCAUGCCACAGUAUCACAGGAUUCCCAGCUGAGAAGAGAUACACCUUACCAUAGCAACACAGCACUUCCACUACAGAAACAGGAUGACCAUAAGUGGUGUUAAGACUACAACAGUGAACUGGAGUACAUUCGUUAAAAAUGAUGUGUAGUGGUGGUGCAUGCCUUUAAUCCCAGCACUUGGGAGCCAGAGGCAGAGGCAAGCAGAUUUCUGAGUUCAAGGCCAGGCUGGUCUAUAGAAUGAGUUCCAGGACUGCCAGAGCUACACAGAGAAACCCUGUCUCAGAAAGAAGAAAAAGAAGAAGAAGAAG